GCAAUCAUCAUCGCUGCAAACAGCUGAUCUCCUUCAAGCCAAAUGUCUGUGUGACAAACUCAAGCAUGGUAACGCUGCUGAAUAACGGUCAGCAAAAAUCCAGUGUCAAUGCCUGUUACGUACAGGUUUUCAUAUGUUUCUUUAAGAUUUAUGUAAGAAGUCAAGAUGUCCCGGUAUUAACAAUGACACACCUUUGCUCAGCCUAAUGUAUUCAAACAAACGUCUAAAUCAGCUGAGAUGAAAAAUUAUGAUUUUGAAAGUCAAAUUCUAAAAGAUUGGAUAUACCCCUUUGUUUGACAUUGACCUAAAUUUAAGGGAUUUGAUUUCUGGCUUAAUACCGAAACUUGAAAAGAUAUGUGACAUACAAAAUCCUUACAAGUGAAAGAAAUAAAGAAACUUGAAUCAAACAGAUUUGAAUAUAAAGGAACAUGAAAUAUAUAUUUAAGAGGCUAGGAAGGAGAGAUGGAUGUUCUACAAAAUCAAGGGAAAAGGAGGAGUUGGGAGAUGAGUAGGAAACAGAAGGAAGCUAGACCAGAAGCUAAAAGAGAUUUAGGAGGAAGAAAUCACAGGCCUCAGUUGAGAAUUAUUUUUCAGUGUGUUAAGCUGUUAAGCCAAUGGACUCAAUAAAGAAACUGUUUUAAAA